rfam:Candidatus Pantoea carbekii DNA, complete genome.
GCAUUAGAAUUACCGAAAAGUAGAGAUGUAAUUAGUAGUAAGUAUUUAUUUAUACAAUUAGGAGUGCAUUGUGGUCCGCAUAGCAGGCAUUAACAUUCCUGAU